CAUAUUCCUACAUUUUCAGAUGUUGCCAAAGGUGUGGAUAGAAAAGCUGUAGUUAGAAACUGCAGAGUGACUUGGAAACUGCAGGCAGCCAAGAAACUCCUUGUGACAAGAACAACCUCCUUUGUUCCAAAUAACCUCAGAAGGGGCCACAGGUACAAGCAGAACUCUGCAUGGAGCUGAUUAGCUCCCAUGUCAGUGGAGUUUAAUCAGACUGAAAGAGUGUGGGCACAGUCAGGGAGAGGAAGCCAAACCUGGCGAGGAGGAGGAUGAGGAGGUGUGGGAGGAUGGAGACAGCGGCCACCAAAGGCUGGGGAAGGCCCAGCUCCAGCCCUUUGCUUCCCAGAGGUGCUGCUUUAGGAAAGCCCCUCCAGCCUGGGCAGGAGCUCCUGGCUCCAGACACGUUCCCAGUGCCCAGGAGCAGCAGGACCUGUGCUGUUCCCAGCAGGACAGGAAAAGCCACUUAAUUCAUCCCAUCUUUGCCCAGAGCUUUGGAGUUUGAGCAGCCAAACCCAACGGGCUCCAGCUGCACUGGAGGGUCCCUGGUCCUGCUGUGUGGGAUGCUGGAAUUGCCUCUGUGGAUGUGCACUGAGCUCUCACUGCAGGGAACUGCCAGGCCUUAAUGGUUGGCAAGAAUGAUUUCAGCUGAUUCAGAUGAGUUUCCAGCAGCCUCAUCUCCCAGCACUUCCCGGGCAGCCGAUCCCCUCUCCUGCCCAGCCGGCGCCAACUGUGCGGGAAUUUGUCCCACCAGCAGCAGGACAGGAGCACUCUCACCCUGGGCCCGGGAUUGUCCUUUUGGGGCAUGCUGGCUACUGGGAUUUAGAGAAUUCCAUACAUUUGGCUGCUGAAAUUUCCCAGCCCAGGAGCUUUGGAUGACAGAGCAGCACAAAGAUUGUUCCCUGUGUGGUGCCUAGAUUUGGGGUUCAGUAUCAGCUUUGCUAGUUUAGAGGAAUUAUACCUAUAGCCCCCCAUUCCCUGCUGAAUUUCUACUGGAAUAACCUCCCAGUGCCUCAUGCAGCAUGGAUAUCCAUGGAUAUCCUCAUGCAGCAUGGAUAUUCCCACACAGAGCUGCCUAUUGAACACCAGCUGUGCCAGGAACCAGCAGAGGCUCCAAGGAAGCUCAGUGGGAUCAGGACAAGGACAGGUUGAUAUUCCAUAGCAUUUGCUAUUUAUAACCCUCAUCACCCAGCCAAAUGUUUCCCCACAAAAUUUUCCACCUCUCUACUACUGAUAGCCUCAUUUUUACCUCAAAAUUAUCAUUUUAUCCAUUUUCCCGGGGGCAUUGAGAGAGUUCCCCGGAAUUCCGUGGGCUCCACCCCUGGGCUCGGGCUCCCGCUGAUGUUUUACAGCAGCCCAGGGCAGGAGUGGCCUCUGGGAGUUCUCUUCCCUGAGGAAAGGGAUGCCCAUCCCUGCCUUCAGGGCACCUGCGGCGUGACCCACCUGUGCAAGCUUCCCAGCAGUUCUGCAGUUCCAGCUGGCUCCCUAAAAACUCCAAACUUCGUCCAAACAAAACUUCAUCUAACUAUAACCUUUUGUUUUAGGGCACCUCCGAGGGCCUUGCUUGGGACUGAAUUUCUGUGAGGGGAAUUCCCUCGGUUUUAGGGCUGCUGCUGGGGGGUGUCCCCAGGCUGGAAGGGAAGGGACUGGAGUGGCUGGGACACCCCUGGUGGCAGUGUGGGAGCUCCAGGAGGUGGCACCGGGAAUUGCUGUCUGAGCUCCCUGCAAACCCAGCGUGCAGCACUCCCGGGCAAUGGCAGCUGUUCCCCGGGGUGGUUUUGGGGGGUCAGGGGGCUCUGUCCGGGCUGCAGCAGCUCCGGGGCCCGUUCAGAGCAGCCCCUGGCCCAGGAGCCGCGGGCAGCCCUUGGUCCGUGCCCAUCCCAGCGCUGCCCGGGCAUCCCGUGCCCGCCCCGGGUGUGCCCGGCACGCUGCCCGCACGGGCAGGACGCUGAGGCGCAGCUCCCGCCCUGCCCGCACCGGGGGCAGGAGGGGCCGGUUCCCUCCCGGGCUCGGCCUCCUCCCGCCCCGCGUUCCCGGCCGGCCGGGACACACGGAGGGAGCGCCGAGGGACGUUCCUGGCAGGGAGCAGGAGUGCCCGAGGGCUCCGGGCAGCUCCGGGCCUGAGAAGCAGCGCCGGGCUCGGCCCCGCCGUGAUUUGGAGCUGUGAGCGCUCACCUGCAGGAAACGCCCUCGGCAGGCGGGACCAGCCCCGACACUGCAGGAGAGCUUCGGCCUGGGACCAAGGGAGCCCUCAGGGCUGGCCUUGCUCGUUUCUCCCUGGAAAGGGACACGGCAUCAGCACCUUUACAGCCAUCAGGGAAAUGCUGGCAAGGGCAGGAAAUCAGGAUUAUGGAAAGAGUUUUGUGCUGUUGUGUCAGAUGCCGGCCAGUUCUACCCUAGAGCCAUUCCAGAGGCUGGUGUGCAAAGCAGCGUUAGCAGAACAGGUGCUGAUUUUCCCAGGAAUUCCCUUGCUGGCAGCAGCCAUUCCCAUCCCAGGCAGGACCUUUCUCGUGACCCUGAGAUUGGCUCAGGUGCUUGGAAGGCCAGGAUUCCGAGUUUAAUGCCCACAUGGGCCAGUCACCUACCAUCGUUUCACUUGACGAUCCUCGGGGCUCUUUCUAAUAAUAUCCUGUGCUCUAGAAAUAAAGAAUAAACAGUUCUCACUGGCUUUUUAAACCCAGAGGUUUUUGCAUUGGAGAGCAGAAGCCACAGGGAA